rnacentral:rRNA from 1 species
CCUGCCGGAGGAUCAUUG